rnacentral:rRNA from 2 species
UCCCCCCGCCCCCUUUCACUUGUUGGUGGGGUAAUGGCCUACCAAGGCGACGACGGGUAGCCGGCCUGAGAGGGCGACCGGCCACACUGGGACUGAGACACGGCCCAGACUCCUACGGGAGGCAGCAGUGGGGAAUAUUGCACAAUGGGCGAAAGCCUGAUGCAGCGACGCCGCGUGAGGGAUGACGGCCUUCGGGUUGUAAACCUCUUUCAGCAGGGAAGAAGCGAAAGUGACGGUACCUGCAGAAGAAGCGCCGGCUAACUACGUGCCAGCAGCCGCGGUAAUACGUAGGGCGCAAGCGUUGUCCGGAAUUAUUGGGCGUAAAGAGCUCGUAGGCGGCUUGUCACGUCGGAUGUGAAAGCCCGAGGCUUAACCUCGGGUCUGCAUUCGAUACGGGCUAGCUAGAGUGUGGUAGGGGAGAUCGGAAUUCCUGGUGUAGCGGUGAAAUGCGCAGAUAUCAGGAGGAACACCGGUGGCGAAGGCGGAUCUCUGGGCCAUUACUGACGCUGAGGAGCGAAAGCGUGGGGAGCGAACAGGAUUAGAUACCCUGGUAGUCCACGCCGUAAACGUUGGGAACUAGGUGUUGGCGACAUCCACGUCGUCGUGCCGCAGCAUGCUAGUU